rnacentral:rRNA from 1 species
GAUGGACGCUGGCGGCGUGCCUAAUACAUGCAAGUCGAGCGAACAGACGAGGAGCUUGCUCCUCUGACGUUAGCGGCGGACGGGUGAGUAACACGUGGAUAACCUACCUAUAAGACUGGGAUAACUUCGGGAAACCGGAGCUAAUACCGGAUAAUAUAUUGAACCGCAUGGUUCAAUAGUGAAAGACGGUUUUGCUGUCACUUAUAGAUGGAUCCGCGCCGCAUUAGCUAGUUGGUAAGGUAACGGCUUACCAAGGCAACGAUGCGUAGCCGACCUGAGAGGGGGAUCGGCCACACUGGAACUGAGACACGGUCCAGACUCCUACGGGAGGCAGCAGUAGGGAAUCUUCCGCAAUGGGCGAAAGCCUGACGGAGCAACGCCGCGUGAGUGAUGAAGGUCUUCGGAUCGUAAAACUCUGUUAUUAGGGAAGAACAAAUGUGUAAGUAACUAUGCACGUCUUGACGGUACCUAAUCAGAAAGCCACGGCUAACUACGUG